rnacentral:rRNA from 1 species
UACGGAGGGAGCUAGCGUUGUUCGGAAUUACUGGGCGUAAAGCGCACGUAGGCGGCUUUGUAAGUCAGAGGUGAAAGCCUGGAGCUCAACUCCAGAACUGCCUUUAAGACUGCAUCGCUUGAACGUCGGAGAGGUGAGUGGAAUUCCGAGUGUAGAGGUGAAAUUCGUAGAUAUUCGGAAGAACACCAGUGGCGAAGGCGGCUCACUGGACGACUGUUGACGCUGAGGUGCGAAAGCGUGGGGAGCAAACAGG